rnacentral:tRNA from 1 species
GUAAUUGUAGCUCAGUGUAGAGCGCCGGUCUUGUAAUCCGGAUGCCGAAGGUUCGAUUCCUCCCUGUUACU